rnacentral:rRNA from 1 species
UGGGGAAUAUUGCGCAAUGGGGGCAACCCUGACGCAGCCAUGCCGCGUGAAUGAAGAAGGCCUUCGGGUUGUAAAGUUCUUUCGGUAGCGAGGAAGGCAUUUAGUUUAAUAGACUAGAUGAUUGACGUUAACUACAGAAGAAGCACCGGCUAACUCCGUGCCAGCAGCCGCGGUAAUACGGAGGGUGCGAGCGUUAAUCGGAAUAACUGGGCGUAAAGGGCACGCAGGCGGUGACUUAAGUGAGGUGUGAAAGCCCCGGGCUUAACCUGGGAAUUGCAUUUCAUACUGGGUCGCUAGAGUACUUUAGGGAGGGGUAGAAUUCCACGUGUAGCGGUGAAAUGCGUAGAGAUGUGGAGGAAUACCGAAGGCGAAGGCAGCCCCUUGGGAAUGUACUGACGCUCAUGUGCGAAAGCGUGGGGAGCAAACAGGAUUAGAUACCCUGGUAGUCCACGCUGUAAACGAUGUCGAUUUGGGGGUUGAGCUUUAAGUUUGGCGCCCGUAGCUAACGUGAUAAAUCGACCGCCUGGGGAGUACGGCCGCAAGGUUA